rnacentral:lncRNA from 1 species
AUCGCAACUCCUCUCAAACCACACAACAGAAUUUCACGAAACCUUUUCAGAUAAUAAUAAGGACAUACUAUGUAGUUGUGCAUAUCGACGGGAAAUUGCGAUUUAAUUUUUUUUCUAGGAGUUAUGCCCCUUUGAACUUAUUUACUUUAAUGUACUACUGCAACAGUUUGUCAUCGCAACUCCUCUCAAACCACACAACAGAAUUUCAUGAAACUUUGUAGAUAAUAAGGACAUACUAUGUAGAUGUGCAUAUCAACAGGAAAUUACGGUUCAAUUUUUUUUCUAGGAGUUAUGCCCCUUUGAACUUAUUUGCUUCAAUGUACUUCUGCAACAGUUUGUCAUCUCAACUCCUCUGAAAACACACAACAGAAUUUCAUGAAAUUUUGUAGAUAAUAAGGACAUACUAUGUAUAUUGACAGGAAAUUAUUAUUCAAUAUUUUUU